rnacentral:rRNA from 1 species
UACGUAGGGUGCGAGCGUUGUCCGGAAUUAUUGGGCGUAAAGAGCUCGUAGGCGGUGUGUCGCGUCGGCCGUGAAAACCUGGGGCUUAACUCUGGGCGUGCGGUCGAUACGGGCAUCACUAGAGUUCGGCAGGGGAGGACUGGAAUUCCUGGGUGUAGGCGGUGAAAUGCGCAGGAUAAUCAGGAGGGAACACCCGGGUGGGCGGAAAGGGCGGGUCC